rnacentral:rRNA from 1 species
ACGAACGCUGGCGGCAUGCCUAACACAUGCAAGUCGAGCGCCUGUAGCAAUACAGGAGCGGCGCACGGGUGAGUAACGCGUGGGAACCUACUCUUAGGUUCGGAACAACCGCGGGAAACUGCGGCUGAUACCGGAUAAUGUCUUCGGACCAAAGAUUUAUCGCCUUUGGAGGGGCCCGCGUCGGAUUAGGUAGUUGGUGAGGUAACGGCUCACCAAGCCUACGAUCCGUAGCUGGUCUGAGAGGAUGACCAGCCACACUGGGACUGAGACACGGCCCAGACUCCUACGGGAGGCAGCAGUGGGGAGUAUUGGACAAUGGGGGCAACCCUGAUCCAGCAAUGCCGCGUGGGUGAUGAAGGCCUUCGGGUUGUAAACCGCUUUCAGCAGGGAUGAAAAUGACAGUACCUGCAGAAGAAGCCCUGGCUAAAUACGU